UGAAAUCUCAUAUUAGCCCUACUUUACCCAUCACCUUGUUCCUAUGAUUAGCAGAGCCGCCAAGCAUUGCCCUACUCUGUAGCACAUCAAGCUUCACUGAUAUAUGUGGAAUUUGUUACAUGGGGCUAAGGUUUGUUGUUGUGGCUGAUCAAUUGUCAAGCUAGAAACUGCUAGAAGUGAGAACGAUGGCUUAUGCGAUGAAGCCGACAAAGCCGGGUUUCGAGGAAUAUGAGCCGCAACAGAUUCACAGGAUUAGGAUAACUCUGUCUUCAAAGAAUGUGUAGAACCUCGAGAAAGGAGCUGAUGCGCCUCGAGAUGGCUGUCUUCUGUCCCCUUACCGGUGAUGAAUCUGUUCCCCGGUCGUUGCUAUGUUGCGUCUAGACGAUGAAAAGUCAAGUAAAGACAGAAGGAGUAGAGGAAGCUGGAACCUACUACAAUCUUGCAAUGUUCAAAGGAGAAGAGGAAGCUCGGCCUCCAGCAGAAGUCAUUGAUGAGUGAUGACUUGUAAGAUCCGAAAUUUUUUUAUACGAUGAAAUAGAUAAAUACAUAUGAAUUUCUAUACAAAUUAGAAAUACUCGGAGAAUUACAAAUUU